rnacentral:tRNA from 1 species
GGGGUGGUGGCGCAGUUCGCUAGCGCGUAGGUCUCAUAAUCCUGAGGUCGAGAGUUCGAGCCUCUCUCACCCCA